AUUGAACGCUGGCGGCAGGCUUAACACAUGCAAGUCGAGCGGGGUGAUGGUGCUUGCACUAUCACUUAGCGGCGGACGGGUGAGUAAUGCUUAGGAAUCUGCCUAUUAGUGGGGGACGACAUCUCGAAAGGGAUGCUAAUACCGCAUACGUCCUACGGGAGAAAGCAGGGGAUCACUUGUGACCUUGCGCUAAUAGAUGAGCCUAAGUCGGAUUAGCUAGUUGGUGGGGUAAAGGCCUACCAAGGCGACGAUCAGUAGCUGGUCUGAGAGGACGAUCAGCCACACUGGGACUGAGACACGGCCCAGACUCCUACGGGAGGCAGCAGUGGGGAAUUUUGGACAAUGGGCGAAAGCCUGAUCCAGCAAUGCCGCGUGUGUGAAGAAGGCCUUCGGGUUGUAAAGCACUUUUGUCCGGAAAGAAAUGGCUCUGGUUAAUACCUGGGGUCGAUGACGGUACCGGAAGAAUAAGGACCGGCUAACUACGUGCCAGCCGCCGCCGUAAAAC
rnacentral:rRNA from 1 species